rnacentral:rRNA from 1 species
GAAUGAUGGUGACCCAAACCCUCACCAGAGUAGCAAUUGGAGGGCAAGUCUGGUGCCAGCAGCCGCGGUAAUUCCAGCUCCAAUAGCGUAUAUUAAACUUGUUGCAGUUAAAAAGCUCGUAGUUGUAUUUUUGCGUUAGCGGUUUGACCAUUUGGUUGGUUAUUUCGUUUUCGCUUUUGGGAAUUUCCCUUUUUACUUUGAGAAAAUUAGAGUGUUUCAAGCAGACUUUUGUCUUGAAUACUUCAGCAUGGAAUAAUAGAGUAGGACUUUGGUUCUAUUUUGUUGGUUAUUGAACCUUAGUAAUGGUUAAUAGGAACGGUUGGGGGCAUUCGUAUUUAACUGUCAGAGGUGAAAUUCUUAGAUUUGUUAAAGACGAACUACUGCGAAAGCAUUUGCCAAGGACGUUUCCAUUAAUCAAGAACGAAAGUUAGGGGAUCGAAGACGAUCAGAUACCGUCGUAGUCCU